UACAGAGGUCUCAAGCGUUGUUCGGAUUCAUUGGGCGUAAAGGGUGCGUAGGUGGCGCUGUAAGUCGGGUGUGAAAUUUCGGAGCUUAACUCCGAAACUGCAUUCGAUACUGCGGUGCUUGAGGACUGGAGAGGAGACUGGAAUUCAUGGUGUAGCAGUGAAAUGCGUAGAGAUCAUGAGGAAGACCAGUGGCGAAAGGCGGG
rnacentral:rRNA from 1 species